rnacentral:rRNA from 1 species
CCCUUAGAUGUCCUGGGCCGCACGCGCGCUACACUGAUGCAUGCAACGAGUUUAUAACCUUGGCCUGAAAGGUCUGGGUAAUCUUUUGAACGUGCAUCGUGAUAGAGAUAGAUUAUUGCAAUUGUUAAUCUUGAACGAGGAAUUCCUAGUAAACGCGAGUCAUCAGCUCGCAUUGAUUACGUCCCUGCCCUUUGUACACACCGCCCGUCGCACCUACCGAUUGAAUGGUUCGGUGAAGAUCUCGGACUUCGAUAUUUAUUCUUUAUUGAGUUUAUAUUGUGGGAAGUUAUCUAAACCUCAUCAUUUAGAGGAAGGUGAAGUCGUAACA